rnacentral:rRNA from 1 species
UACGGAAUGUGCAAACGUUAUUCGGAAUCACUGGGCUUAAAGAGUCCGUAGGCGGCUUGUUAGGUGAGGUGUGAAAUCCCUCAGCUCAACUGAGGAACUGCAUCCGAUACUGUUUGUCUUGAGGACGAGAGGGGAGAGUGGAACUUCUGGUGGAGCGGUGAAAUGCGUAGAUAUCAGAAGGAACGCCGGUGGCGAAAGCGACUCUCUGGCUCGUAUCUGACGCUGAGGCGCGAAAGCUUGGGUAGCAAACGGG